rnacentral:rRNA from 1 species
CCUACGGGAGGCAGCAGUGAGGAAUAUUGGUCAAUGGACGAGAGUCUGAACCAGCCAAGUAGCGUGAAGGAUGACUGCCCUAUGGGUUGUAAACUUCUUUUAUAUGGGAAUAAAACGUUCCACGUGUGGGAUUUUGUAUGUACCAUAUGAAUAAGGAUCGGCUAACUCCGUGCCAGCAGCCGCGGUAAUACGGAGGAUCCGAGCGUUAUCCGGAUUUAUUGGGUUUAAAGGGGGCGUAGGUGGAUAGUUAAGGCAGUUGGGAAAGUUUGCGGGUCAACCGUAAAAUAGCAGUUGAAACUGGCAGCCUUGAGUACAGUAGAGGUGGGCGGAAUUCGUGGUGUAGCGGUGAAAUGCUUAGAUAUCACGAAGAACUCCGAUUGCGAAGGCAGUUCACUGGACUGCAACUGACACUGAGGCUCGAAAGUGUGGGUAUCAAACAGGAUUAGAUACCCUAGUAGUC